rnacentral:lncRNA from 1 species
CUACGUAAAUAUUGCUACGUAAUUAAUGUAAUGAACCAGGUGGACGAAUACGAUUGGAGAUUAGAGGAGGACGGGCGAUCCCUGAAAUUGGGGCCUCCUAGGAUCGCAAUUCCUGACGCUUCAGGCGCUAAAAGGUAAUCUUUAUGUCUCGCUUAUAACGAGACGUAGGGAAGGCUCAGUACAAGAGCUGCUGUCCGAAUGGGCCCUCCCAGUAGAGGCCCGGCCUCUACUGCAUUUUUCUUCUUCUUCUUCCUUUUUUCGCUUUUCUGCUUUUUUCACUUUUACAUGGAUUUCAAAAUAUACUAAAUAUAUCAUUAUAAAAAUUACUUUACAUACAUAAUUGAAAAAUGUUAAUCAUCUAUGUAUAAAAAUACAUUCCUAAUGUAUACAAAAAAUAUAGAAUAUGUAUGAAAAAAUUCAACAUCAAAACAUAUAUGUUUGAGAAACCUUAAUCUUGUAUUUGAAAAAUUGUUCAACGUGUAAAGCUUUCUUGUAUUUAAAUAAAGGAUUGUGAUAACUGUCAACCAUGUGGCAGAUUGCAAAAAGUACCGCACCUCCCAAACGAACCCCCUCCUUCAAUCCGAUUUUCUCCUCCCCGCACACGAGGUUGCGUGCUCUCCCCGGUUUUCUGGGUCGCUGCACCCGCACUAUCAGUAGUUUAAAAAAAGGCAAAACACAGGCCUUACAAGGAAAUUGGGGCCUCCUAGGAUCGCAAUUCCUGACGCUUCAGGCGCUAAAAGGUAAUCUUUAUGUCUCGCUUAUAACGAGACGUAGGGAAGGCUCAGUACAAGAGCUGCUGUCCGAAUGGGCCCUCCCAGUAGAGGCCCGGCCUCUACUGCAUUUUUCUUCUUCUUCUUCUUCUUCCUUUUUUCGCUUUUCUGCUUUUUUCACUUUUACAUGGAUUUCAAAAUAUACUAAAUAUAUCAUUAUAAAAAUUACUUUACAUACAUAAUUGAAAAAUGUUAAUCAUCUAUGUAUAAAAAUACAUUCCUAAUGUAUACAAAAAAUAUAGAAUAUGUAUGAAAAAAUUCGACAUCAAAACAUAUAUGUUUGAGAAACCUUAAUCUUGUAUUUGAAAAAUUGUUCAACGUGUAAAGCUUUCUUGUAUUUAAAUAAAGGAUUGUGAUAACUGUCAACCAUGUGGCAGAUUGCAAAAAGUACCGCACCUCCCAAACGAACCCCCUCCUUCGAUCCGAUUUUCUCCUCCCCGCACACGAGGUUGCGUGCUCUCCCCGGUUUUCUGGGUCGCUGCACCCGCACUAUCAGUAGUUUAAAAAAAGGCAAAACACAGGCCUUGCAAGGAAAUUGGGGCCUCCUAGGAUCGCAAUUCCUGACGCUUCAGGCGCUAAAAGGUAAUCUUUAUGUCUCGCUUAUAACGAGACGUAGGGAAGGCUCAGUACAAGAGCUGCUGUCCGAAUGGGCCCUCCCAGUAGAGGCCCGGCCUCUACUGCAUUUUUCUUCUUCUUCUUCUUCUUCCUUUUUUCGCUUUUCUGCUUUUUUCACUUUUACAUGGAUUUCAAAAUAUACUAAAUAUAUCAUUAUAAAAAUUACUUUACAUACAUAAUUGAAAAAUGUUAAUCAUCUAUGUAUAAAAAUACAUUCCUAAUGUAUACAAAAAAUAUAGAAUAUGUAUGAAAAAAUUCGACAUCAAAACAUAUAUGUUUGAGAAACCUUAAUCUUGUAUUUGAAAAAUUGUUCAACGUGUAAAGCUUUCUUGUAUUUAAAUAAAGGAUUGUGAUAACUGUCAACCAUGUGGCAGAUUGCAAAAAGUACCGCAC